UACGUAGGGUGCGAGCGUUAAUCGGAAUUACUGGGCGUAAAGCGUGCGCAGGCGGUUUUGUAAGCCAGAUGUGAAAGCCCCGGGCUUAACCUGGGAAUGGCAUUUGGGACUGCAAGGCUUGAGUGCGGCAGAGGAGACUGGAAUUCCUGGUGUAGCAGUAAAAUGCGUAGAUAUCAGGAGGAAUACCGAUGGCGAAGGCAGGUCUCUGGGCUGACACUGACGCUCAUGCACGAAAGCGUGGGGAGCAAACAGG
rnacentral:rRNA from 1 species